GAUGAACGCUAGCGGCAGGCUUAAUACAUGCAAGUCGAGGGGUAGCAGGGUAGCAAUACCGCUGACGACCGGCAAACGGGUGCGGAACACGUACACAACCUUCCUUUUAGUGGGGAAUAGCCCAGAGAAAUUUGGAUUAAUACCCCAUAACAUAGCAAUGUGGCAUCACAUUGUUAUUAUAGGUUUACCGCUAAGAGAUGGGUGUGCGGCUGAUUAGGUAGUUGGCGGAGUAACAGCCCACCAAGCCAACGAUCAGUAGCUGAUGUGAGAGCAUGAUCAGCCACACGGGCACUGAGACACGGGCCCGACUCCUACGGGAGGCAGCAGUAAGGAAUAUUGGACAAUGGACGCAAGUCUGAUCCAGCCAUGCCGCGUGAAGGAUUAAGGCCCUCUGGGUUGUAAACUUCUUUUAUAGGGGACGAAAAAAGGGCUUUCUAGCUCGUCUGACGGUACCCUAUGAAUAAGCACCGGCUAACUCCGUGCCAGCCGCCGCGGUAAAAC
rnacentral:rRNA from 1 species